rnacentral:rRNA from 1 species
CCUACGGGAGGCAGCAGUGAGGAAUAUUGGACAAUGGGCGCAAGCCUGAUCCAGCCAUGCCGCGUGCAGGAUGACGGUCCUAUGGAUUGUAAACUGCUUUUGUACAGGAAGAAACAGUUCUACGUGUAGAACCUUGACGGUACUGUAAGAAUAAGGAUCGGCUAACUCCGUGCCAGCAGCCGCGGUAAUACGGAGGAUCCAAGCGUUAUCCGGAAUCAUUGGGUUUAAAGGGUCCGUAGGCGGUUUAGUAAGUCAGUGGUGAAAGCCCAUCGCUCAACGGUGGAACGGCCAUUGAUACUGCUAAACUUGAAUUAUUAGGAAGUAACUAGAAUAUGUAGUGUAGCGGUGAAAUGCUUAGAGAUUACAUGGAAUACCAAUUGCGAAGGCAGGUUACUACUAAUAUAUUGACGCUGAUGGACGAAAGCGUGGGUAGCGAACAGGAUUAGAUACCCUGGUAGUCCACGCCGUAAACGAUGGAUACUAGCUGUUGGGAGCAAUCUCAGUGGCUAAGCGAAAGUGAUAAGUAUCCCACCUGGGGAGUACGUUCGCAAGAAUGAAACUCAAAGGAAUUGACGG